rnacentral:rRNA from 1 species
ACUACGGGUGGCAGCAGUGGGGGAUAUUGCACAAUGGGGGGAACCCUGAUGCAGCGACGCCGCGUGGGUGAAGAAGCGCCUCGGCGCGUAAAGCCCUGUCAGCAGGGAAGAAAAUGACGGUACCUGAAGAAGAAGCCCCGGCUAACUACGUUCCAGCAGCCGCGGUAAUACGUAGGGGGCAAGCGUUAUCCGGAUUUACUGGGUGUAAAGGGGGCGCAGACGGCGAUGCAAGCCAGGAGGGAAAGCCCGGGGCCCAACCCCGGGACUGCUCUUGGAACUGCGUGGCUGGAGUGCAGGAGGGGCAGGCGGAAUUCCUGGUGUAGCGGUGAAAUGUGUAGAUAUCAGGAGGAACACCGGUGGCGAAGGCGGCCUGCUGGACUGCAACUGACGUUGAGGCCCGAAAGCGUGGGGAGCAAACAGGAUUAGAUACCCCAGUAGUC